rnacentral:rRNA from 1 species
GACGAACGCUGGCGGCGUGCUUAACACAUGCAAGUCGAACGAUGAAGCUGGAGCUUGCUCUGGCGGAUUAGUGGCGAACGGGUGAGUAACACGUGAGAAAUCUGCCCUUGACUCUGGGAUAACUGCGGGAAACUGUAGCUAAUACCGGAUACUUUCCCUGGUGGGCAUCCACUGGGGAAGAAAGAAUUUCGGUCAAGGAUGAUCUCGCGGCCUAUCAGCUUGUUGGUGAGGUAAUGGCUCACCAAGGCGACGACGGGUAGCCGGCCUGAGAGGGUGACCGGCCAAACUGGGACUGCGACACGGCCCAGACUCCUACGGGAGGCAGCAGUGGGGAAUAUUGCACAAUGGGCGCAAGCCUGAUGCAGCAACGCCGCGUGAGGGAUGAAGGCCUUCGGGUUGUAAACCUCUUUUAGCAGGGAAGAAGCGAAAGUGACGGUACCUGCAGAAAAAGCACCGGCUAACUACGUGCCAGCCGCCGCAGUAA